rnacentral:rRNA from 1 species
GAUGAACGCUGGCGGCGUGCCUAAUACAUGCAAGUCGAGCGAACGGACGAGAAGCUUGCUUCUCUGAUGUUAGCGGCGGACGGGUGAGUAACACGUGGAUAACCUACCUAUCAGACUGGGAUAACUUCGGGAAACCGGAUCUAAUACCGGAUAAUAUUUUGAACCGCAUGGUUCAAAAGUGAAAGACGGUCUUGCUGUCACUUAUAGAUGGAUCCGCGCUGCAUUAGCUAGUUGGUAAGGUAACGGCUUACCAAGGCAACGAUGCAUAGCCGACCUGAGAGGGUGAUCGGCCACACUGGAAGUGAGACACGGUCCAGACACCUACGGGAGGCAGCAGUAGGGAAUCUUCCGCAAUGGAGGAAAGCCUGACGGAGCAACGCCGCGGGAGUGAUGAAGGUCUUCGGAUCGUAAAACUCUGUUAUUAGGAAAGAACAUAUGUGUAAGUAACUGUGAACAUCUCGACGGUACCUAGUCAGAAAGCCACGGCUAACUACGUG